rfam:Bacteroidetes bacterium GWA2_32_17 gwa2_scaffold_5978, whole genome shotgun sequence.
ACGUCGUGAGACAGUUCGGUCCCUAUCUGUGGUGGGCGUUAGAAAUUUGAGAAGACCUGACUUUAGUACGAGAGGACCGAGUCGGACAGACCUCUAGUGUAUCUGUUGUGGCGCCAGCUGCAUUGCAGAGUAGCUACGUCUGGACUGGAUAAGCGCUGAAAGCAUCUAAGCACGAAGCCAACUUCAAGAUGAGAUUUCCUUAAAGGGUCGUCGCAGACUACGACGUUGAUAGGCUGCAGGUGUAAAGACAGUAAUGUCAAAGCCGAGCAGUACUAAUUGCCCGAAACUUUACUUUC